ACGUAAGUCACAAGCGUUGUCCGGAAUUACUGGGUGUAAAGGGAGCGCAGGCGGGAAGACAAGUUGGAAGUGAAAUCUAUGGGCUCAACCCAUAAACUGCUUUCAAAACUGUUUUUCUUGAGUAGUGCAGAGGUAGGCGGAAUUCCCGGUGUAGCGGUGGAAUGCGUAGAUAUCGGGAGGAACACCAGUGGCGAAGGCGGCCUACUGGGCACCAACUGACGCUGAGGCUCGAAAGUGUGGGUAGCAAACAG
rnacentral:rRNA from 1 species